UUGGGGAUUUCUGUAUAACCCAGCCCUAGAAAAGUUGAGUUCGGGAUAUAGCUACUAAAUUCUUGAGCUCUUGCACACAGCUCUGACUAUUUCCACUGUGCCGAAAAUAACUUCCAACUGUUCUAAGGCAUUCAAGAACUGAGUUACUUAAUAAUGUACUCUUAUAUCUAGAUUAAGGUAUCAGACCAACAGAAAACGAUGCAAGACCUGAUUGGAUGACAUAAAAGGAUGUUGCAUAAGAAUCGAAGACGUCGUACACUGAAGAAUAACAAAAGACAGGUUUCCAGAAGAGGGGUCCUCCUGCAAUGCUUGGGUGGUGUCUCUGCCCAAAGGUCUGAGCUGGCAACUUAGCGCUGAUCCAAACCAACAGAGAUGUCAGGCCUGGUUUUGUCACACAACUUACGCAAACGCUGGUAUGUUUCCGGUUGUUGCUUUGAGUUUGCACAUUUGAAUUAAAGUAUCUGAAUUAUGAAAUUUUUUUUGAGAUUUUCUCUUCUUAAUAUCAGUUUAUUGAGAUAUUUUUGUUACAACCAAAUGUUUUUUUGUUUUUUUUUUUUUUUGAAGAGGUAGUCCCGCUCUGUCGCCCUG
rnacentral:lncRNA from 1 species